CAGCAGCCGCGGGAAUACGUAGGUGGCAAGCGUUGUCCGGAAUCAUUGGGCGUAAAGGGGGCGCAGGCGGGCAAGUAAGUCUUUCUUAAAAGUUCGGGGCUCAACCCCGUGAUGGGAAAGAAACUACAUGUCUUGAGUACAGGAGAGGAAGGCGGAAUUCCCAGUGUAGCGGUGAAAUGCGUAGAUAUUGGGAGGAACACCAGUGGCGAAGGCGGCUUUCUGGACUGCAACUGACGCUGAGGCUCGAAAGCCAGGGGAGCAAAUGGGAUUAGAUACCCCAGUAGUCCCUGUCUCUUAUACA
rnacentral:rRNA from 1 species